GUCCUACUGUUGUGAAUACCUUCAAAUUAUAAAAAUACUUCUGUUGGAAUUGUGUUACCUUGAGAGCGUGAAUGGAAACUCAAAUUCAAAUCUUAAGUAAUUAAUGCACGCUAAGUAUUGUUUACGAUGGUUGUUGUUAAUUGUUUCAUUUUCCCCAUCUAUGUAGCUCUUCCUGAUGCAUAUAGCAACUCUUGAUUUGUCAAACGAUAUGGUUGGUAUUUCCU
rnacentral:lncRNA from 1 species